rnacentral:lncRNA from 1 species
ACUCUCAUUUUAGGCAUAAGCUUUUAAAACGUUGUGCAGUCGGGCCCAAUCGACCUCCCACAGUAUCUCAACCAGGGUUCAGUGCAGGACCAUCAUCAUCUUCAUCUUUACCACCUCCUGCUUCUUCUAAGCACAAAACAGCAGAAAGACAGGAAAAAGGAGACAAGCUGCAAAAGAGACCCUUAAUACCAUUUCACCAUAGGCCCUCUGUGGCCGAAGAAUUAUGCAUGGAGCAAGAUACACCAGGACAGAAACUAGGGUUGGCAGGGAUAGACUCCUCCUUAGAGGUGUCUAGCAGUAGGAAAUAUGAUAAGCAAAUGGCCGUGCCUUCCAGAAAUACAAGCAAGCAAAUGAAUCUGAAUCCUAUGGAUUCACCUCAUUCCCCUAUAUCCCCUCUGCCACCAACACUCAGCCCUCAGCCACGAGGUCAGGAAACAGAGAGUUUGGACCCACCAUCGGUCCCUGUGAAUCCAGCCCUUUAUGGAAAUGGACUAGAACUCCAGCAGUUGUCUACUCUGGAUGACAGAACUGUCCUCGUAGGCCAAAGACUGCCUCUCAUGGCAGAGGUCAGCGAGACAGCCUUAUAUUGUGGGAUUAGGCCCUCGAACCCGGAGUCAUCAGAAAAGUGGUGGCAUAGUUAUCGUCUCCCACCCAGUGAUGAUGCUGAGUUCAGGCCUCCAGAGCUCCAGGGUGAGAGAUGUGAUGCCAAAAUGGAGGUAAACUCAGAGAGCACUGCAUUGCAAAGGUAAGACAGCUCUCUGCACCACCCACCCGUCCACCGGAAGGGCAUGGGCUCCCUCCCCAUCUCUACCUGCUAAACUUUCAGAUUCAAAAUUGAAGUAGGCUUUUCUUUGUCCUUCUUGACUCCGGAUAUGGAAAAUGUUUAAUGGUCAAAUGCUUUGUCCUACUUAUAGGUUAGCACACAUGUCAUUUGACACAUGGGCAUAUAAAGAACUCUUUAUGCCAUUUAAGUACACUCCAAAUAUAUUAAUACAUUUUUGCCCUACUGUUUGUUAAUUAAAGAAUAUAGCUUUAUAAGACUUUCCAUACUGCUGUCAGUGCCUUCUUUGUAUGUUGACAUUUUUGAGGAAGGCUUUGCCUGCAUUCAGGUGUAUGUAUCAUGUAUCUAGUAUAAUAUUUAUAGCUCUUUUGAGCCACCCAUUCUAAAACUUUACAUAGAUGAUCUCAUUUAAUCUUCACUGUACCAUAUUAUUACGUUAAUUUUAUAACUGAGAAACUAGGGCCAUGCAGUUAGUAAAUGACACAGAUGGAAUUUGAAACUAGGCAGUCUGUCCUGAGAACCUGUGCUCUUAAGUGGAAUUGAUGGACCCAGAGACAAAAACAUAUAUUCUUGACAAAGUAUGCUAAUUUUUAUUUAAUCAUGAAUAUAAACUGUAAAAGCAAAUCACUAUAUCGGUGAAUUUUUAGUUGUUUUUACAAAAAGUUUAAACUUUGUAAAUGCUUUAAGGCAUAAAUGCUCUUUUUUUUUUUUUUUUUUUUGUCUUUUAGACUCUUAGCACAACCUAACAAACGGUUUAAAAUCUGGCAAGACAAACAGCCCCAGUUGCAGCCACUCCACUUCCUUGACCCAUUGCCUCUAUCACAACAACCUGGAGACAGUUUGGGAGAAGUGAAUGACCCAUAUACCUUUGAAGAUGGUGACAUAAAAUACAUCUUUACAGCCAACAAGAAAUGCAAACAAGGGACGGAGAAAGAUUCCCUGAAAAAGAAUAAGGUACCAUUUAACAGAGAGAGAGUCCAGCAUGGUGUGGGUUUCUAUCUAUGUCAGUACAACAUGUGUGGGAAGACUUUGGAGGCAGAACGUUUGAGAUAGUCUUGCCUGAUUGCUCUGUCCCCAUAUUCAUGCUCUUGGUACUAUUGUAUUGAACAGCGUAUUGUUCCUUUUUAUGUCAUGGCUCACCUUUGUUUAAAAGUCAGCCGAACAUAAAUGAAGCCUCAUAUUUUCCAGGCUAUAGCUUGUACAGUGCAUGUUUUCUCUCAUAUGCUAAUUCUUGUUGGCCUAUGCUCCCUAUUUCUUUUAAAAUAUUAUUCCGAACUACCCAAAAUGUAAAGGAAAAAAUGUUUGUAACAGUAGGUAUACACAAUUUAUCGAGCGCUUCUUAUCCUUACUGUGCUGAGCGCUGUACCUAUAUAUUCUCUGGGUUAAUAUCAACUCUACCCAUAGACUAUCAGUAUUAAUUUUACUGGUUUCAUCAUCAUAAAAAUGAGUACUGGUUGUGUCUGCUGUCUUUAAUUUCAAAUUUUCAGACAUUCUAAAAUAUGGGCCAUUGAAAUAGGUAUUCUUGAGAAUCAAGGAAAUAAAACAAUUAUAAGAGGCC